rnacentral:misc_RNA from 1 species
GCCUCCCAAACAUCACCUCUUCGAGCCCAUCCAUCUAUCAAUAUGUUAUAAACAAAAGUGUUCCUUUGAAUCUUUUGAGCACUCAUUUCUUUUGUUACAGCUAAAGCACUUUGCAUCCUGCCUGACUUGCAGCACGCCUUCAAUAAUGCCUCAUACGUAUAUACAUCAAGCUCUAAUCCUUCAUUUCUCAGUUUGGUAAAAUACUCAAAAGCUUUUCCAGUAUCGCCUAGGGCUGCAUAGCCAUGCAUAAUGGUUGUGAAUGUAUGCUCAUUUGGACUAACACCUGACAAUGCCAUUUCAUCCAAUAUUUCAACAGCCUUCUCCAUCUGACGC